AACUAAGUCCGACGUCAUACAGGUUCUACUCCUUUAGCAACUCCCAUUGUGGAGAGACUUCCAUAUCUUUCAAAUAUAGAAAAUCUUCUCGAUCGACGUAUCGACUUGGCUGCUUUCAUUCAAGCCCAAUCUAGGUGCACCCUAAGAAGACGGAAAACCCCAAGCUAAAGAAGAAGAAACAAAAAGGAACUGAUCCUUCCAUCCAUGGAUGGAAGAAGGGAGGCCGGUAAUGAAAGACAAACCCUAUCUCAGGCCAAAGAACCACCACCCCGCCUUAAGGUGUAGACGA
rnacentral:lncRNA from 1 species